rnacentral:sRNA from 1 species
AGGUCCCAUGAGGCAAAAACGUCAGGCAAUGUCGUACGUAGGAACCCACACUGUUUGCCGAUUGGUCAUUGUUGCCGAUUAUUAUUUCUUCCAAAAUCUUGGACAGAGUGAUAGAAGAACAACAGGAGAAUAUAUUAUUGGAAUAAUCGGCAGAGUAAAUGCAAUUUAUAAGGCAACAUACUGGCCAGAUUCAAGCUCAAACAUCAGGAAUCUUGGAUUUGAAAUUGCAGAGCUGAUUGUGCACGACUCCUACACAUAUGUUCCUCCCCAAGGCCGCCAUUACAACAUGAGGAACCGACCCCAGGAUAUGGGACUCGUGCUGGAUAUGUUUGGUUGGGAGUAUCAGAAGUUCUACGCUUUCUGUUUAGCUCACUUGUUCACAUAUCAGUCGUUCCCAGGGAAACUAGGCUUGGCAUACAUAGCUUCGUGGAGGAACACUGAUUUGGGUGGAAUGUGUUCUCCGGUGGCAUAUAAGGACGGUAGAAAAAUGGCAGCAAACACUGGACUCAGUACCUACCGUAAUCCUGAUGGAAGCCAAGCUCUCAUCCACCAAGCCACCAUCACUACAGCUCACGGUCAUAACUGGGGGAGUGAACAUGACCCAGACACUGAUAACUGCGCCCCCUCCACUUCAAACGGGGGCCGCUUUAUCAUGUAUCCUUCCGCCGUCUCUGGAUAUGAAAAAAAUAAUCAGCUCUUUUCGCCAUGUAGUAAACAGUACAUUUACAAAGUUGUAAUGAUGAAAGGAUAUGACUGCUUUAAAGAGGCAUCAGACUCAGGACAGGGCUUAUGUGGUAAUGGCCGUCUGGACAAGAAUGAAGAAUGUGAUGCUGGCUACACAGGCGACAAAUGCUGUAAUGAAAAGUGCGAGUUCAGGGUCAAAGUUCGAGGUCAAAUUCAAUGCAGCCCCAUGAACUAUGCUUGCUGUGUGAAUUGUACUGUUGCACCGCCCGGUUAUCAGUGCUUAGACCAGUUUGACGACAACUUUGAUUGCAAGGGGAAAUCCCAUUGCAAUGGAGGCCUUACCUGUCCAAAAGCCACUUUUAAAGUCGACAAUACCUCCUGUCUAAAUGGAUAUGGGAAAUGUAAAAAUGGACAAUGUUUGGACCCAUGUAAAGAUGUCGGCAGAUAUCCAUGUCUCUGUUCAGCUCACUUGUUCACAUAUCAGUCGUUCCCAGGGAAACUAGGCUUGGCAUACAUAGCUUCUUGGAGGAACACUGAUUUGGGUGGAAUGUGUUCUCCGGUGGCAUUUAAGGACGGUAAAAAAAUGGCAGCAAACACUGGACUCAGUACCUACCGUAAUCCUGAUGGAAGCCAAGCGCUCGUCCACCAAGCCACCAUCACUACAGCUCACGGUCAUAAUUGGGGGAGUGAACAUGACCCGGACACUGAUAACUGCGCCCCCUCCACUUCAGACGGUGGCCGCUUUAUCAUGUAUCCUUCCGCCGUCUCUGGAUACGAUAAAAAUAAUCAGCUCUUUUCGCCAUGUAGUAAACAGUACAUUUACAAAGUUGUAAUGAUGAAAGGAUAUGACUGCUUUAAAGAGGCAUCAGACUCAGGACAGGGCUUAUGUGGUAAUGGCCGUCUGGACAAGAAUGAAGAAUGUGAUGCUGGCUACACAGGCGACAAAUGCUGUAAUGAAAAGUGCGAGUUCAGGGUCAAAGUUCGAGGUCAAAUUCAAUGCAGCCCCAUGAACUAUGCUUGCUGUGUGAAUUGUACUGUUGCACCGCCCGGUUAUCAGUGCUUAGACCAGUUUGACGACAACUUUGAUUGCAAGGGGAAAUCCCAUUGCAAUGGAGGCCUUACCUGUCCAAAAGUCACUUUUAAAGUCGACAAUACCUCCUGUCUAAAUGGAUAUGGGAAAUGUAAAAAUGGACAAUGUUUGGACCCAUGUAAAGAUGUGGGCAGAUAUCCAUGCCUCUGUUCAGGGGAUGAUGCAUGUAAAACAUGCUGCUACAAACUCAAUACACAGCUUUGUGAGCCUUUAUCAGAGAAAAUUCUGGAGGAUGGGAGACCAUGCUACAAUGGAUUUUGUAAACAAGAUAAGAAAAAUGACAUGAAAUCAGAAGGAGUAGACGAUAAGGAUGGAAGGAUGAAAGCUUUGAUAGCUGACGAUGACAAAGUACUUCACGUCAGUCGACGUCCAAAACCUUUAGAUUUUAGUACUUGAACAGUGAAUCAAGAUCAUAACAAUCAAUUAUUGUGAUAAAAAUCCUCCUCCUGACAAUUAAGGUUGUUUUACUGAGAGAGAGAGAGAGAGAGAGAGAGAGAGAGAGAGAGAGAGAGAGAGAGAGAGAGAGAGAGAGAGAGAGAAGGAGAGAGAUGUGCAAUGUAUGUUGACUUUUACAUGUAUCUGUAUAAUACAUGCUGCAAUUUUUGCUUCCAUAAAAUCAAAUGUUAAUUUUGAUUUGAUGUGUAUAUAAAUUGUUAAAUUGUAGUUUUUUUUUUAUAGAUAUAACUUAGAUAUAGAUAAGAAAUACAUUUUAGACAUCAAAAUUAUUGUUGGCUUGGUAGUUGUUUU